AACAAUUUACCUAACUAAACCGAAAUUAAAAUAAAAAAGCCAACGGGGCCCACCUUAAAAAGGAAGCAAAUGGGAAGAACAGCGAAAUUCUAGAAAAUUCCUUUCAGACAAAGACGGUGGAAUCUUCAACACAAAGUCUAUAUCAUCAUCAUCAACAUCUUCAAAUUACCGUCAUUCUCUGCAAAUUUUCAACAUCUUAAGAAAAGGUCUAUUCUAGUGUUUGUGAAGACAACUAAUUGAUUUAUCAUUAACAGGAAGAUAAACAGACUGUGUAUGGCUGAAAUCUCAUCACUUGACAAGAAGGUUUCUUUAGAUCUGGCCAGGGAAUUGCUCAUUGCAAUUUCCGAGUCUCUACCAGAAAAUCUUCUCAAUCCCGAGUCUCUACCGGAUAAAAGUCUCAGUCCCAAGUCUAUCGAGGAACCUACAAAUGAUCAUGAGAUUGCUUCAAUGAAAAGUGCUGAUAAAGACGAAGAGCUUAGGUCGGAACUGAUCUCGAUCUCGUAUCUACCGUCACCGGACAAAGUUUCACUUCCAGCAAAUGGUCAUCUGUGAAUGAUAUUGACAUGAUGUGAAUCAUAUCUUGUAGAAAAAAAUCUCCUUUUAAAGUUUAUUAUGUACUUAGUACUACUACCUAAGCACUCUUUGACCAAGUCUUGGAAGUGACAUCAAUAUUAGACAUGUAAAUUGGGUGUAAUUGCGUGGUUUUGGAUGGUUUGUGUGAUAUGAUAAGAUUGUUACAGGAAAAUAUGCUAUGAUUUUGCUUCUCA